GUGUUGCGUGCGCGACGCAUUUUGGAUGCGAGAGAGUAGUCACCCCCGGAUGCUACAGGACGAGGAGCAGCAGGAUUGAAGUGUUGCGUGCGCAACGCAUUUUGGAUGCAAGAGAGUAGGCACCCCCGGAUGCUACAGGACGAGGAGCAGCAGGAUUGAAGCGGAACUCAAUCGCCGAAAUUCAAAGCACACGUUGGAUGGCAGG